GCGCCCAUAGUUGAAUGGAUUACAACGGAAGAUUGCGGAUCUUCUGGUGAAGGUUCGAUUCCUUCUGGGCGCA
rnacentral:tRNA from 1 species